rnacentral:rRNA from 1 species
GCUCGCCAGAGAAUUACAAGCAACCGCUUAAAACCCAAAGGACUUGACGGUGUUCCACACCAACCUAGAGGAGCCUGUCCUAUAACCGAUACUCCACGCUAAACCCUGCCCCCCCUUGCACUUACAGCCUAUAUACCGCCGUCUCCAGUCCACCUGAUGACAGAUCCACCCAGCCGACACAAAAGCCAAACACAAGCACGUCAGGUCAAGGUGUAGCUAAUGCGGGGGUCUGAGAUGGGCUACAUUUCCCACUUUAGGAAACCACCAGCCGCAAAAUGAAAUAUGAGCCAAAAGGCGGAUUUAGUAGUAAGCGUGGACAAGAUAUGCCACCCUGAA